rnacentral:sRNA from 1 species
AUCUAAACCUGACAGGAAUGGCAGCCUCCGUCCCGAUUUUACAUCGGGAAUUCGUCGGAGCUAUAAUGUAUGGCAGGGCCGAAG